UACAUGGGGGUGCAAACGUUGCUCGGAAUCAUUGGGCGUAAAGCGCGCGUAGGCGGUUACUUAAGUUGGAUGUGAAAGCCCUCGGCUUAACUGAGGAAGUGCAUCCAAAACUGAGUAGCUAGAGUACGAAAGAGGGUCGCGGAAUUCCCGGUGUAGAGGUGAAAUUCGUAGAUAUCGGGAGGAACACCGGUGGCGAAGGCGGCGACCUGGGUCGAGACUGACGCUGAGGCGCGAAAGCGUGGGGAGCAAACAGG
rnacentral:rRNA from 1 species